UAUAUUUGAUUACUUCUUGGAAAAAUAAUAUAUGAAUAUUUUUUGCUAUAAUAAAAAUAUUAUUAUGCCCUUAGAAGCACAAAAAAUCAAUCCUUAA